rnacentral:rRNA from 1 species
UUGGAGGGCAAGUCUGGUGCCAGCAGCCGCGGUAAUUCCAGCUCCAAUAGCGUAUAUUAAAGUUGUUGCAGUUAAAAAGCUCGUAGUUGAAUUUCGGGGUUAGUAGGUUGGUCAUGCCACUGGUAUGUACUGGUCUCACUGAUUCCUCCUUCCUGAUGAGACGUAAUGCCAUUAAUUUGGUGUUGCGAGGAAUCUGGACUGUUACUUUGAAAAAAUUAGAGUGUUAAAGCAGGCUAACGCUUGAAUACAUUAGCAUGGAAUAAUGAAAUAGGACGUUCGAUCUUAUUUUGUUGGUUUCUAGGAUUGACGUAAUGAUUAAUAGGGAUAGUUGGGGGCAUUAGUAUCCAAUUGUCAGAGGUGAAAUUCUUGGAUUUAUUGAAGACUAACUACUGCGAAAGCAUUUGCCAAGGAUGUUUUCAUUAAUCAAGAACGAAAGUUAGGGGAUCGAAGACGAUCAGAUACCGUCGUAGUCUUAACCAUAAACUAUGCCGACUAGGGAUCGGAUGAUGUUAAUUUUUUAAUGACUCAUUCGGCGCCUUACGGGAAAC